GGGAUAACAUUCUGAAAAGAAUGCUAAUACCGCAUGACAUAUCGGAACCACAUGGUUCUGAUAUCAAAGAUUUUAUCGCUUGAAGAUGGACUCGCGUCCGAUUAGUUAGUUGGUGAGGUAACGGCUCACCAAGACCGCGAUCGGUAGCCGGACUGAGAGGUUGAACGGCCACAUUGGGACUGAGACACGGCCCAGACUCCUACGGGAGGCAGCAGUGGGGGAUAUUGCGCAAUGGGGGCAACCCUGACGCAGCAACGCCGCGUGAAGGAUGAAGGUUUUCGGAUUGUAAACUUCUUUUAUUAAGGACGAAAAAUGACGGUACUUAAUGAAUAAGCUCCGGCUAACUACGUGCCAGCAGCCGCGGUAAUACGUAGGGAGCAAGCGUUGUCCGGAUUUACUGGGUGUAAAGGGUGCGUAGGCGGCUUUGCAAGUCAGAUGUGAAAUCUAUGGGCUCAACCCAUAAACUGCAUUUGAAACUGUAGAGCUUGAGUGAAGUAGAGGCAGGCGGAAUUCCCCGUGUAGCGGUGAAAUGCGUAGAGAUGGGGAGGAACACCAGUGGCGAAGGCGGCCUGCUGGGCUUUAACUGACGCUGAGGCACGAAAGCGUGGGUAGCAAACAGGAUUAGAUACCCUGGUAGUCCACGCUGUAAACGAUGAUUACUAGGUGUGGGGGGUCUGACCCCUUCCGUGCCGGAG
rnacentral:rRNA from 1 species